rnacentral:tmRNA from 1 species
GGGGCUGACAGGAAUUGACAGCAUCGUUCAUUGACAAGUAAGCAUGCCGGGCAUUGUAUAUUGGCCCGCUAAUCUCAAUAUGCAACAAUUUUUUAUAUGGCGAGAACAAUUUCGCAAUGGCUGCUUAAUUCAGAGAAUUAACAUAGCCGUCGUCCUCUAUGCCCAACGUCUGGCGAGGUAUAAAAGGGCGUCACAGUGCCGGAAUAGUCACAUCCCGUUCCGAGGUGUGAUGAGAUACAGGAACUAAGGGCAUUUUAAAGGUAUGAAUGUACACCUAAGAUGCUUCGAAAAACAAGUGCAUACUAAGCAUGUAGAAGGCUUGCUAAUGCCUUGUCUGGACGAGGGUUCAAAUCCCUCCAGCUCCACAA